CACUCAGAAGUCUGAGCAUGGUGAGUAGCACAUUUUGGUUUACGUGUUUUAGUUUCAGGCCAACCUACUGUAGUACAUGUCAAACAUGAGUAUUUGAGUACUUGUUGUCUAGUGCAGCAGCGUGUGUGUGUGUGUGUAUGUAUGUAUGUAUAUGUGUUUUAUUUCCACUCUAAAAUUGAGUUAUAACCAUACGCACGUGGUUCCAUACUACUGUACAGACCGUUUCUGAUACGGUUGGCAACGAUGUUUCGGGAACGUCCUGAGAAAUAUUCGAAGUAACAUGUUGCUGAUUCAAUUAACGCAUGUAACUUACGUCCUAUACGUUUAAUUUCUAGCGGGAUAUGCAUGCUUUUUAUGCCUUUUUUUUCUUUAAAAUGGCCUCUUAUUAAUUAAGAGGCGUUGCACGCUCGGUUUGUGGCGUUUCCGUUUUUGCGAUGGCCACGUGGGCGCGAACAUAUUUUGUGGCUCUACAUUUUAUGUAGGUGUACAUGUAAACUACUAAAGGGCAACUCCUCCACAUUUCAACCUCAUUCAUUAUCUCCAGCCCCAAACCAGUGUCUACAUAUGCGAAAUCGUUACGUUUCUGUGGUUAAAAGAUAAAGGUCCCAAAUGCUUCUAACAUCACGGUAGGCUUAGUUGUAAGAAACUGUUUAUUAUAUAUGUGAGUAGCUUUUAACCAGAGGGAGUUUAUUUUCUUCCUCCCCAUGAUGACCUGCGAAGAUCAGUGUUUGAAAAUCAGUCUUCAGACUUUUUACUUUUGUCAUCUGCUAAAACCUAACUGCCGUUUUCACAUAUGUCGACUGUUUUAGUGCUGGAGAUCGUGAAUAUAUUUGUGGCGGAGAUGCUCUUUUUAAGUGUUAAGAAUCAUUAAUGUCCUGUUUUCUCUUUUAUAGUCUCCAAGGUGAAGAGUACAAUGAGGAAGAUUAGAUGCCACCAUGACCUAUUGGUGUCACUGUCCAAGCAAAUGGCACAUGAACGUAGCAGUAAGGCCUGCCUUUUCUCCGUGAAAGAAUAUAGUGGUAAGCUACACCAGGUGGCAUUUGGAACUCUGUCCAGUCUUAAAAAAGUAAUGUGUAAUUGGUCUGUGAUGAGAAAUCAUGCACCACGCUGAACUUGUGAUGGAUAACCUCUACCACAUUAUCUGAGACCUGCACAGACAUGGUUACAAAUAAAUGCUGGUUCAUAAGGCUGGGUUGUGAAUGCUUGGUUCUGGUUUCCCCGACAUGGAUUAAGCCUACUUCUGGGCUAAAGCUAUUUCUAUGGCGAAUCCAUAUAGGCCCCUACUAACAGUUUAAUGGGCUUGUUUCUCAGAAGACCUGUUUUACCAAUGAUACUUCUUGGUGGUUCUUGCCCUUUGUGAUGUAACGGUCUACAAUGCCACUGUUACAAUGAGCGGGCAGACAAACUAACCAAUGAUGGCACGGCUGCCCUGUUCAGUGGGCAUAGAACCGGCCUGAUAUGCCAAGGUAUCAUAUCCUGUCCUCUCGGUGACAUGACCUAUUAAUCGAGCACAUUUGAUCUUGGUGUGACUGAUGCUUUAGAACAGGGUUAUUGAACACUUUCUAUAGGGCAGGGUUUCCCAAAAUGUCCGGUUGAACCCAAGGGGUGCGCAAUUUGGGUUUUGUCUAAGCACUACACAGCUGAUUUAAAUAAUCAACUAAUCAUCAAGCUUUGAUCAUUUCAAUCAGUUGUUGGUGCAAAAACCAAAACGAUACCCUUCAAGGUCUGGAGCCUGCUGGUGUUCUGCUCUACCUGAUAAUUGUACCCUCCUGGGGUCCCAGUGAUUUAGAAGAAACCAACUCAGUGGAACUGGCUUUGAGGUCUAGACUUAGGGCUGUUGCACUAGCAGCUACCUACUUGGACUAACUACUUAUUAUAUCUACACUUUGACUAUUUGUUGGCAUUUUUUUUUUUUUUUCCUUGCUCGGUUUCCUUAACUGUUACCAUCCUGUUGUUUUCAGAUAAAGGGUGGUGCAGCACUGCUUGCUGACUUACUGGUUAGUGGGUCAUGAUGUGACUCCACAAUGGUAAGUCCUUGCCUCAAUUGGUUAUGCACUGGCUAAAUGUCUUGUUCUCCUAGCAAUCUGCCCCUUGAGGUGUUGCAGUCCGACUGUACGUGUUGAGCCUGUGUCAUGAGGGGCGGAGAGUGACAGGGCUAUGUCUACGCCAAGGACCCAGAACAGUGGGUACUUGGAGUGAUCAUAGCGGCAACAGUGUAUGCAAUGUAAUGCUGGUAAAUGACGUGUUCAUAUCAUACAUUUAGCGUUCUGUUUUCUCUGGUUGUCCUUAGGAUGUGAAGUUGCCAAUGCGAAAUUGGUAUACCGCUGGUUGGUGUCCUAGCGGCUGUGACCUGGAAGUAGCAGAAUGAUUGCCGCCUUUCCUCCCUGAAAGAAUGCUGUGCAGUGUGCACAUAACAGCGAUAAAGGAUGGUCUGGAGGUGCAGCAGUGCUGACCUACUGGUUAUAGUGGGUCAUGAUGAGGCGCCACAAGCCACGGUAAGUCCUUGCUGAGUUUGGUUAUGCACUGGCUAAAUGUCUUGUUCUCCUAGCAAUCUGCCCCUUGAGGUGUUGCAGUCCGACUGUACGUGUUGAGCCUGUGUCAUGAGGGGCGGAGAGUGACAGGGCUAUGUCUACGCCAAGGACCCAGAACAGUGGGUACUUGGAGUGAUCAUAGCGCCAACAUUGGCAGCAGUAUAUGAAAUGUAAUGCAGGUAAAUGACCGGGGUUUAUAUCAUACAUGUAACGUUCAGUUUUCUCUGGUUGUCCUUCGGCUGUGAAGCUGCCAAUGAGAAGUUGGUAUUUUGGUGUCCUAGCAGAUGUAACCUGGAAGUAGCAGAAUAAUUGCCGCCUUUCCUCCCUGAAAGAAUGCUGUGCACAGAACGGUAAGCAACAUCCAUGGCAUUUUAACUUUAAGUCUUAAAAGAAAAUGUUUAAUGAGAAAUCAUUCACCACGCUGAACUUGUGAUGGAUAACCUCUAUACCACAUUAUCUGAGACCUGCAGAGACAUAGUUACAAAUUCACACAAGGCUUGUUAAUGUUACACUGAGCAAAUGAACGGGUUGGUUUCAUGAGCUGAAAUAAAAGUUCGCAGAAAUCUUCCAUGCGCACAAGAACCUUAUUUCUCAAAUGUUUUGCACAAACUUGUUUAUACCUGUUAGUGAGCAUUUUCCUUUGCCAAGAUGAUCCAUCCACCUGAUAUGUGACAUAAGCUUCUUUAUUAAACAGCAUGAUCAUUACACAGGUACACCUUGUGCUGUGAAAAAAAUAUGCCGUUUUGUCAACACAAUGCCACAGAUCUCUCAUGUUGAGGGAGCGCAAUUAGCAUGCCGACUGCAGGAAUGUCAACCAGAGCUGUUGCCAGAUUUGGAUUUUAAUUUCUCUACCAUAAGCAGCAUCCCAACAUUUUAGAAUUUGUCAGGACUUCCAUAUUUUCACCUAUACGAUCUGAGACCGCUACCCGGACAGCUGAAACUGGGUUUGCUCAACAUUCAGUUCUGCAUGGACUGUCAUACAGUCUCAGGACACUUGGGUGUCUUGACCUGACUAUGCUCACCUUUGUUGGAGUGUGCCCUUCACAGGUGUAUCCCAGUUUCAACUGUACCGGGUAGAUGGCAGGCAGCGUCCAGUGUUGUGGGUGCGCAGUUUGCUGAUGUCAAAGUUGCGAAGAGUGCCCUAUGGUGGCAGUGGUGUUACGAUAUGGGCAGGCAUAAGCAAUGGCCAACUACAUACAAAUUGCCGUCGAUAAUAUGUAAUUGUGUUUUGAGGUUCCGUGAUGAGAUCCUGAGGCCUGUUGUGCCGCCAUCUGUCUCACCUCGUGUUUCAGCGCUAAUCCAUGGCCCUAUGUUGUAAUGAUCUGUACAAAAUUCCUGUGAGCUGAAAUGUCCUGUUUCUUCCAUGGCUUACAUACAGAGCAUGUUUAUGAUGCUUUGUAUGAUUGUGUGUUCCUGCAAUAUCCAUCCACUUCGAACAGGCCACACUCACCUCAUCUGCUCAACUCUAUGCGAAGGAGAUGUUGUGAUGCCUGAGGUAAAUGGUUGUUGCACGAGCCUUUAUCUGUGACAAAUCUAUUCCCUGUCAUGUGAAAUCUAUAGAUUAGGGCCUACUGGAUUUAGUACCAUAGCCUGAUUUUCCUUGACUUAACUUUGAAAAUUUGAAAUUAGUUCGGUAUAGAUUAAACCUACUAAUGGACUAAAGCUCUUUCAAUGGAGAAUCCAUGUAGGCACCAAUAGGUUUGUUUUUCAGCACAUGUAUUAAUGGUGUUUCCUACCUCUUGAUGUACUUGUGGCUCCAAUUGCAUGAUAAACUGACCCACAAUGACUUAACUGCCCGCUUUAGUGGGAAGCAGGUAUGGCACAGUCUCAGGUACCCAGACCCUCGCCAGGAGGGCAAAGUGUCCUAACCUAUUAAUCACGCACGUUUGGUGCAAUACUCAAGAACUAGCAUCAAUGUAUUUGGACCCACUACUUAAUGUGUAUGCUGUUGCCUUGAUAUGUUGCUCUUCAAACUUACCUGUUACAUCUUUAUUUUCAGAGUCUGACAGUGUGGGGUUGACAUGGCGCCACAGGUCAUUGUAAGUCUGCCUCAUUUGGUUACACACUGGCUAAAUGUAUAUUGGUCUCAUCGAAAUCUGCCCCUUGAGGUGUUGCAGUCCGACUAUGUGUUGAGCCUGUGUCAUGAGGGGCGGAGAGUAACCGGGCUACGUCUACGCCAAGGACCCAGGACAGUGGGUACUUUGCAUGACUAUGGCGCCGAUAUUGGGACCCAUUUUAGACCAGCAGACAAAUGUCAACUUCUAGUGCUUGAACAGGUGGCCGAGUGCUUGAUUUAAGCUCCCUCGGUAGUUUAGCUUGUUUUGCCAAAACCACUUAUUACUGACUGGUAAUUGCCAUUGGGCCAAUACUUAGUUGAUUCAACUAACCUGAGGUUUUAUGACUUGGUCACUUUUUUUAAAGGGUUGCCAGGUUUUUUAUAUUAUUCUCACCAAUUUCCUGAUUUGAUCGAUGGGACAGGUGCUGAAGAACGACUGAAGAUUGGCCUGUUGAAGAUGAAAGGUGGCAGUACCUUAGAAGAAAGCAGAUUGUUCAGUUGCCAGUCCUAGACUAGGGUGCCAUCUGAUUGUGUAUGCAGCUGCCACUAUUAUAGCCGUUAGAUGCCGUUAAUCACAGCAAGCUCAGUUUUAGUUUCUGGUUAUCACGUGAAAACCCUUUACUCUGGGUGACCUAGGUGAAAUUGGCUCAACAAAUAUUAAUUAAACAUACCUGCCCUGUUCGAUUUGAAUAAAUGUAUUGCUUUCAAGAUAAUUAAAAUAAACUCAAGCUGAUCUCAGUGGCUGUUUGAUUUUUUUUUUUUUAAGCAUUUCUUCAGAUGCCCUUCACUGACAACUACAGAGAACUGAAUGUUGAGUGAAGUCACAGGUCUGCUGGAAUGGAUGGACAAACUACACAAUGGUAACCGGAUUAAUCGGCAUUUUUGGACACCGAUCAUGGCCGAUGCGAUUGCAGCAAGGAGCUAGCAUUAAACGCGUCCGUUUUAUAAAUCUUAACAUUGUCACUAGUUAACUACACAUGGUUAUUUCCAGCUUGUCCUGCGUUGCCUGUUAAAUCAUUGAAAUUUAGCCUACUUUUGAUUUUAUAAGCGUAUUUGUGAAAAGCACUUGUGUACCUAACCAUAAACACCUUUAAAUCAAUACAAGUAUGUAUUUGA
ensembl:lncRNA